UGGCGUAAGGUUACAUGGAGCUGCCAUUGGUACAGAUCUUGGUGGUAGUAGCAAAUAAUCGAAUGAGACCUUGGAGGACUGAAGUGGAGAAGGGUUUCGUGUGAACAGUGGUUGAUCACGAGUUAGUCGGUCCUAAGCCUAAGGCGAAAGCCGAAUAAAAAUUUAAGGUUUUAUCAAUCAGAUAAUUAAAAGUAUACCUUAAAUUUAAAAUUAGGCGAAAGGGAAUACGGUUCCAAUUCCGUAACCCGUUGAGUAUACGUUUGUAAUAAAUCUGGUCAUUUAUGAUCAUCCCGGUAACGGAAACAAUCAUAGAGAAGCCGUCGAGAGGUAUUGGAAGAGUUUUCUUUUCUGUUUUAUAGCUGUACUACCAUGGAAGUCUUUCGAAGAGAGAUAUGGUAGAUGAGCUAGAAGAGCAUGGCAUUUACUGCUGUGUCAAUAUUUUCUCCUCGGACCUUGAAAAUCUAUGAUUGGGCCACGCAAACUUCUCAACAGGCCGUACCAAUAUCCGCAGCUGGUCUCCAAGGUGAAGAGUCU
rnacentral:rRNA from 1 species